CGUUUGUUUUGCAAGUGUCAUUGCCGACUUCUCCUUCUUCCCUAACAAAGAAAUACACAUUGUAUAUACUGAGUUAAAUGACACUUCAUUGGUAGCAGCAAAGAGCCCUGAACCCAGAACCUCAGGCAUUCUAACAAACCCACAUGCUAUGAAUAAUUUUACCUUAUUACCCAACGAACCUGUGCGGCCACAGCAUAUUCCUCCAUCAGCGGUUCCAUCGUAAAAUGGAACUGCAACGGAUCAUCUGUUGAUAAACAAACGUUCA